ACCUGGGAUAGCUCAGUCAGUAGAGCAUGAGACUCUUAAUCUCAGGGUCAUGGGUUUGAAUCCCACAUUGGGCA
rnacentral:tRNA from 1 species